CGUCAAAUCAUCAUGCCCCUUAUGUUCUGGGCUACACACGUGCUACAAUGGCCGGUACAGACGGACGCAAAGCCGCGAGGUGGAGCAAAUCCUAAAAAGCCGGUCUCAGUUCGGAUUGCAGGCUGCAAUUCGCCUGCAUGAAGUCGGAAUCGCUAGUAAUCGCAGGUCAGCAUACUGCGGUAAAUACGUUCCCGGGCCUU
rnacentral:rRNA from 1 species